rnacentral:rRNA from 1 species
CCCGGGGAACUGAAACAUCUAAGUACCCGGAGGAAAAGAAAUCAAACGAGAUGCCCACAGUAGCGGCGAGCGAAGAGGGCAGAGCCCAAACCUGUAAGCUACGGCUUAUGGGGGUUGAGGACUGACGUAAUUAAGGCCAGGCUUAGCUGAACUACCUGGGAAGGUAGGCGAUAGAAGGUAAGAGCCCUGUAAGCGAAAGGCAGAGCCUUAAGGUCAGUAUCCAGAGUACCACGGAGCACGAGGAAUUCUGUGGGAAGCAGGGGGGACCACCCUCCAAGGCUAAAGACUAACUGGCGACCGAUAGCGCAUAGUACCGUGAGGGAAAGGUGAAAAGAACCCCGGGAGGGGAGUGAAAUAGUACCUGAAACCGUAUGUCUACAAGCAGUCGGAGCGAAAGCGACGGCGUGCCUAUUGAAGAAUGAACCAACGAGUUAUCUGCACUAGCGAGGUUAAGUGGAAGACACGGAGCCGUAGCGAAAGCGAGUCUGAAAAGGGCGGCGAGUUAGUGUAGGUAGACCCGAAACCGCAGUGAUCUACCCAUGUCCAGGUUGAAGCGCAGGUAAAAAUGCGUGGAGGACCGAACCGGUGAGCGUUGAAAAGCUUUCGGAUGAGAUGUGGGUAGGGGUGAAAUUCCAAUCGAACGCGGAGAUAGCUGGUUCUCCCCGAAAUAGCUUUAGGGCUAGCCUCAGGUAGUAAGUAUAGGCGGUAGAGCACUGAUCGGGCUAGGGGCCAUAAAGGUUACCGAACCCUGUCAAACUCCGAAUGGAUAUACUGCAGAGCCUGGGAGUCAGACUACGAGUGAUAAGAUCCGUGGUCAAAAGGGAAACAGCCCAGACCACCGGCUAAGGUCCCAAAUGCCGUACUAAGUGGAAAAGGAUGUGGGGAUUCAUAAACAACCAGGAUGUUGGCUCAGAAGCAGCCAUCAUUUAAAGAGUGCGUAAUAGCUCACUGGUCGAGAGUCCCUGCGCCGAAAAUUUCCGGGGCUAAAGUACGGAACCGAAGCCGUGGCUGUGUACUUAGGUGCACGGGGUAGGGGAGCGUUGCCACAGGGGUGAAGCUGGUCUGGAAGGACUGGUGGACUUGUGGGAAGUGAGAAUGUUGGUAUGAGUAGCGAAAAGAAAGGUGAGAAUCCUUUCCACCGAAAGCAUAAGGAUUCCUGAGCAACGAUCGUCGUCUCAGGGUAAGUCGGGACCUAAUCCGAGGCAAAGAGCGUAGGAGAUGGACAACAGGUUGAUAUUCCUGUACCGGCAGCAAUUGUUUGAGCGAAGGAGUGACACAGAAGGGCAGGCAGGCGCGAGACUGGAUUGUCGCGUGCAAGCGUGUAGGGUAGUGUACAGGCAAAUCCGUACACUGAAAGCCUGAGGCGUUACGCGGAGCGAGCAGAGAUGCGAGCGAAGCUGCUGAUCCCACACUGUCGAGAAAAGCUUCUAGUGAGAGAGCUGCCGCCCGUACCGUAAACCGACACAGGUAUGCGGGGAGAGAAUCCUAAGGUGCGCGGGAGAACCCUCGUUAAGGAACUCGGCAAAAUGUACCCGUAACUUCGGGAUAAGGGUAGCCGUCUUGGUGAAGGAGCAUGCCUCUGGAGCUGAAGGCGGUCGCAGAGAAGAGGCCCAAGCGACUGUUUACCACAAACACAGGUGCCUGCUAAAGCGAAAGCUGACGUAUAGGUGCUGACACCUGCCCAGUGCUGGAAGGUUAAGGAAGGAUGUCCGGGCAACCAAAGCAUUCGACCGAAGCCCCAGUGAACGGCGGCCGUAACUAUAACGGUCCUAAGGUAGCGAAAUUCCUUGUCGGGUAAGUUCCGACCCGCACGAAAGGUGUAACGAUUUGGGCACUGUCUCAACGAGGGACCCGGUGAAAUUGAAAUACCUGUGAAGAUGCAGGUUACCUGCGACUGGACAGAAAGACCCCAUGGAGCUUUACUGUAACCUGACAUUGGGUUUUGUUGUAUUACGUACAGGAUAGGUGGGAGGCUUGGAAGGCUGGACGCUAGUCUGGCUGGAGCCGGCGUUGGGAUACCACCCUUGAUACAACGGAAUUCUAACCGAGAGAGUAACGAAAUCCGGGACAGUGUCAGGCGGGCAGUUUGACUGGGGCGGUCGCCUCCGAAAGAGUAACGGAGG